UAGAAAGGAUGGGAUGGCAACCAAAGCAGACUUUCUCCCUAGGAUUUUGAGAAGCAGCCCCCUGUAAAGGAAAGGAAUCUGAUAUCUUCUCAGAGAACCAUCACCAAAUUCAAAAUACACUCAGCUUUCCUUUGUCUGGUCUAUUCUUUUUCUGAAUCUGAUGUCCAGGAUGUUUCUCACAGAAAAAUGUUAAUAGGAGACCAAGAUUGAUGGGAUGAGGGAAGAAUGGAGGUGGAGAGUUGGCUCCAUGGGCUAGAAGAGGAACAAACAGGACUAUGGUAGUGAGAAAGAACUGCGCAGAGGAAAAGGUACCUUUGGUAAAAGGAAGUGAUCAAAAAGGGAAUGGCAACAUCCAGGGCCACCUUGGAAACUUGGAAACUGUGCUGUUUGGAAGAUGGCAGAGCCUCUGUCUGUCUGGGUCCCUGCAUGACUACAUGGAGUGGAUUUCUCUCCUGGUGACAACUGGAUUUUAUAGGUUGGAGCAUUGAUUUCAUCAUAAGGAAGACCUGAGGAAGUUUGAGUGAGACCUCUGAGGACUGCUAUCUUUGACGCACCUUGGCAAAUUACUUUGCCUCUCUGAACUUCAGUUUCUUCGUCUAUAAGUGCAGAUGAUAAUAAUAUCUACCCUGAAGAGCUGUGAUGAUUGGAUGAGUUAAUGCAUUAA